CCUACCCGAAAGCCGGCGCACUCAGCUCGCGGACGAAGACGUCUGUCACGUGAUGUUUACUGGGCGCACCGUCGACACCGCUGCGUAGGCUCGCCGACGGCAGCUCCAGGCAGCUCUUCCGUGACUUCGUUGCCGCGACCUCUUGUCACCAUUCAACCGCACUUAAAAGUUGCACGAGGGCAACGCAUCCUCGCAUGAGACUCGACUCGAUUGAUGUGUCCAGGACAAGGGCUCAUAUCCAUGGGAGUUCGGUUUGCUCUGGUUUCUUCCAAACACUUUUUUCUAUACUUCUGAGCAUCGCCAGCAAUGACGGGC